ACUGUUUUGAAGAUUUCUUCGGAAUGAAUUUGAUUUAGUUUAGUGGCGGACGGGUGAGUAACGCGUGAGUAACCUGCCUUCAAGAGGGGGAUAACAUUCUGAAAAGAAUGCUAAUACCGCAUGAUAUAUCGGAAUCACAUGAUUUUGAUAUCAAAGAUUUUAUCGCUUGAAGAUGGACUCGCGUCCGAUUAGUUAGUUGGUGAGGUAACGGCUCACCAAGACCGCGAUCGGUAGCCGGACUGAGAGGUUGAACGGCCACAUUGGGACUGAGACACGGCCCAGACUCCUACGGGAGGCAGCAGUGGGGGAUAUUGCGCAAUGGGGGCAACCCUGACGCAGCAACGCCGCGUGAAGGAUGAAGGUUUUCGGAUUGUAAACUUCUUUUAUUAAGGACGAAACUUGACGGUACUUAAUGAAUAAGCUCCGGCUAACUACGUGCCAGCAGCCGCGGUAAUACGUAGGGAGCAAGCGUUGUCCGGAUUUACUGGGUGUAAAGGGUGCGUAGGCGGCUUUGCAAGUCAGAUGUGAAAUCUAUGGGCUCAACCCAUAAACUGCAUUUGAAACUGUAGAGCUUGAGUGAAGUAGAGGCAGGCGGAAUUCCCCGUGUAGCGGUGAAAUGCGUAGAGAUGGGGAGGAACACCAGUGG
rnacentral:rRNA from 1 species